rnacentral:rRNA from 1 species
UACAGAGGUGGCAAGCGUUGUUCGGAAUUACUGGGCGUAAAGGGCGCGUAGGCGGCCUUGUAAGUCCUGUGUGAAAUCCCCCGGCUCAACUGGGGAACUGCACAGGAGACUGCUUGGCUUGAGUGCAGGAGAGAAGAGUGGAAUUCCACGUGUAGCGGUGAAAUGCGUAGAGAUGUGGAGGAACACCAGUGGCGAAGGCGACUCUUUGGCCUGUAACUGACACUGAGGCGCGAAAGCGUGGGGAGCAAACAGG